rnacentral:snRNA from 1 species
GAAACGGCUCAGCCGGAG